rnacentral:rRNA from 1 species
AACGAACGCUGGCGGCAUGCCUAACACAUGCAAGUCGAACGAGACCUUCGGGUCUAGUGGCGCACGGGUGCGUAACGCGUGGGAACCUGCCCUUAGGCUCGGAAUAACUCCCCGAAAGGGGUGCUAAUACCGGAUAAUGUCUUCGGACCAAAGAUUUAUCGACUUUGGAUGGGCCCGAGUUGGAUUAGCUAGUUGGUAGGGUAAAAGCCUACCAAGGCGACGAUCCAUAGCUGGUCUGAGAGGAAGGUCAGCCACACUGGGGCUGGGAAACGGCCCAGACUCCUGCGGGAGGGAGGCGAGGGGGAUAUUGGAAAAUGGGGGAAAGCCUGAACCAGCAAGGCCGGGUGAGUGAUGAAGGCCUUAGGGUUGUAAAGCUCUUUUACCCGGGAUGAUAGUGACAGUACCGGGAGAAUAAGCUCCGGCUAACUCCGUG